rnacentral:rRNA from 1 species
UACAGAGGGUGCGAGCGUUAAUCGGAAUUACUGGGCGUAAAGCGUGCGUAGACGGUUAUGUAAGUCAGAUGUGAAAGCCUCGGGCUCAACCUGGGAACGGCGCUUGGGACGGCGAGGCUGGAGUUCGGGAGAGGAGAGUGGAAUUCCCAGUGUAGAGGUGAAAUUCGUAGAUAUUGGGAAGAACACCGGUGGCGAAGGCGGCUCUCUGGAGCGACACUGACGCUGAGGCGCGAAAGCGUGGGGAGCAAACAGG